CCUACGGGAGGCAGCAGUAGGGAAUAUUGCUCAAUGGGGGAAACCCUGAAGCAGCAACGCCGCGUGGAGGAUGAAGGUUUUAGGAUUGUAAACUCCUUUUGUGAGAGAAGAUAAUGACGGUAUCUAACGAAUAAGCACCGGCUAACUCCGUGCCAGCAGCCGCGGUAAUACGGAGGGUGCAAGCGUUACUCGGAAUCACUGGGCGUAAAGAGUGCGUAGGCGGGAUUGUAAGUCAGAUGUGAAAUCCUAUGGCUUAACUAUAGAACUGCAUUUGAAACUAUGAUUCUAGAGUUUGGGAGAGGUAGGUGGAAUUCUUGGUGUAGGGGUAAAAUCCGUAGAGAUCAAGAGGAAUACUCAUUGCGAAGGCGACCUACUGGAACAUUACUGACGCUGAUGCGCGAAAGCGUGGGGAGCAAACAGGAUUAGAUACCCUUGUAGUC
rnacentral:rRNA from 1 species